rnacentral:rRNA from 1 species
AACGAACGCUGGCGGCGUGCCUAACACAUGCAAGUCGAACGAGAAAGGGGCUUCGGCUCCGAGUAAAGUGGCGCACGGGUGAGUAACACGUGGGUAACCUGCCUCUCAGAUUGUGAUAACUCGACGAAAGAUGAGCUCAUACCGAAUAAGACCACAGUUCCUGCGGGAACAGGGGUCAAAGGUAGCCUCUGCUUGCGAGCUAUCACUUAGAGAUGGGCCUGCGCACCAUUAGCUAGUUGGUAGGGUAACGGCCUAACAAGGCAAAGAUGGUUAGCUGGUACGGGAGGAAGGACCGCCAAAACGGAAACGAGACACGGUCCAGACUCCCACGGGAGGCAGGAGUGGGGAAUAUUGCGCAAUGGGCGAAAGCUUGACGCCGCAACGCCGCGUGAGGGAUGAAGGCCUUCGGGUCGUAAAGGCCUGUCGGGAGGAACGAAUGCUCAUGAGGUUAACAGCCUCGGGAGGUGACGGUACCUUAAAAAGAAGCACCGGCUAACUCUGUG